GUACCUGCUUCGGCAGCACAUAUAUUAAAAUUAGAAUAAUACAAAGAAGAUUAGCAUUACCUCUGUUCAAGGAUGAAUGUAAGUUCGUAAAGCAUUCUAUAUUUUA
ensembl:snRNA U6 U6 spliceosomal RNA